AAGGGAGACCUAAUUCGGGUAUAAGACGAAAAAAGAGUAGUCGAAACCAAGAAUCAAUCCCAAAAGGUCGGAACGAGGUAUGUGGCUUUCAAACUAGGUUCUGGGUUCACACAAGACCCGAAUCAGGAACAAGGGCUAUUAGCUCAGGUGGUUAGAGCGCACCCCUGAUAAGGGUGAGGUCCCUGGUUCGAGUCCAGGAUGGCCCACCUGCACAGGUGGCAAAAACAAAGAGGCGAGGAAUCAGCACCUUAUCUUAUCUAUAUAUAAGAGAGAAUGCUGGCUCUGAGUAAAGAGUCCAGAGGAACCUUGAAAACUGCAUAGAGCUAGGGAAAAAGCCAAAAGAGAAGACCGCAA
rnacentral:tRNA from 1 species